rnacentral:rRNA from 1 species
UGAGGAAUAUUGGUCAAUGGGCGCGAGCCUGAACCAGCCAUGCCGCGUGCAGGAUGACUGCCCUAUGGGUUGUAAACUGCUUUUCUGCAGGAAGAAAGGUUUUGAUUCGUUCAGGAUUUGACGGUACUGCAGGAAUAAGCAUCGGCUAACUCCGUGCCAGCAGCCGCGGUAAUACGGAGGAUGCAAGCGUUAUCCGGAUUCAUUGGGUUUAAAGGGUGCGCAGGCUGGGCAUUAAGUCAGAGGUGAAAGCCCGUGGCUUAACUACGGGAUUGCCUUAGAAACUAGUGCUCUUGAGUGUAGUCGAGGACGGCGGAAUGAGUUAUGUAGCGGUAAAAUGCAUAGAUAUGACUCAGAACGCCGAUUGCGAAGGCAGCUGUCUAGGCUAUAACUGACGCUGAGGCACGAAAGCGUGGGGAGCGAACAGGAUUAGAUACCCUGGUAGUCCACGCUGUAAACUAUGAUCACUCGCUGUUGGCGAUAUACAGUCAGCGGCUGAGCGAAAGCAUUAAGUGAUCCACCUGGGGAGUACGUCGGCAACGAUG